GCUCUGUGACAUUGCUCCGCCGGUCCUCGGCCACGCAGAGCUCAAGAGGCCUCAUGGGGUUCAGAGCGAAAAGGGGCAGGGGUGCGCGGGCAGAAGGGCAGCCGUGUGCUGCACACAUGCACACACGUGUGCACACACAUGCAUGCACACACAGACACAUGCACAUGCCCACGCAUGCCUGCAUACAUGCGUGCACACCUGCAUGCACACCUACAUACCGGGUCACACUCUCACACCUAUGUGUGCACGUCACAGACCUCCACGUAUGUACACACAAGCGUGUACACACACAAACGCAGGCACACAUCCAUUUGCACAAGCAUGCACAGAAACAUGCAUGAAACGUAGCUAUAUGUACACACGCACAAACACACACAUGUAUGCACAAACAUGCACGUGGCCCGUGUAUACCAAACACUCGUGUGGCUGCUGAGUACGUGUGCACACUGCCAGGCAGGCGUGAGUGUGCAGAGGAUGCGUGUGCACUGCUGAGCACAUGUGUGCGCACUGAGCUCAUGUCUGUACUGCCAGGCAUAUGUGUGUGUGUGCACACAGAGCACGUGUGUGCACCGCUGAGCACGUGUGCACGCUGAGCACGUGUGCAUUUGCUGCAUUGCUGGGCAUGUGUGUGGAUGCCUAGCACGUGUGUGCACAAACACGCACGCUGAGCGCGUGUGCACGUGGAGCACAUGUGUGCACACUGAGCACGUCUGUGCAUUGCCGGGCACACGUGUGUAUGCUGACCGUCUGUGCACAAACAUGCGUGCUGAGCACGUGUGCACCACCAAGCAAAUGUAUGCACACCAAGCAGGUGUGUGCACGCCCAGCGCACGUCGACACGCUUAGCACAUAUAUGCACACGUGUGUGAGGCUGAGCCCACCGCGGCCAACAUCCCAGCCUCGCUCGCAGCACCCCCAGCCUGGCGGUGUGCACACCCCCGCGCAUGCAGCCCUCGAAGCACGGCGUGCCCGGCGCCAAGCACGGCGUGCGUGUGCACGCGCGUGUGCAUGCGCGUGUGCAGCGUGGGCCGGCCCCCAGCCUCCAGAGCCGCCGGCAGUGCCCGUCGUGGGACAGCCACCGAGCCGAGCGCUGCGGCCACCAUGGUCCCGCGGGGCCCCGCGUGGUGCCUGCUGCUGGGGCUCUGCGCCCUGCUCCCCCGCGCCAGCACCCAGGGGACCCCAGAAGAGGAUGCGGUGCCGGGGGUCCCCGAGCGCUGCGGCGUCACCUUCCACACCCCCAGCCCCUGCGGGCCCCCCCGGCCGCCCCCCUCGGCCUCCCGAGAGGAGCUGGAGCAUCUCCGGAGCCUCCUGCAGCAGACCAGGGCCAGCCUGCAGGACGUGGAGGCGGCGGCGGCGCUGGAGGAGCACCGGCCCCGCUACCAGGACGUGAUCGCCGAGGCGCUGCCCGCCAUCCGCGGGGCCAACCGGGAGUUCCAGGAGAGCCUGGACAACGUCCGCAGGGAGCUGGAGGCGCACGUGGCCGAGACCGAGCACCCGCAGGCGGUGGAGAAGAGGGAGAAGCUGCGGAAGGACGUCCGCGUGGUGGCCCAUGUCCUGCGGCUCACCGCCCGCCUGGCCCGCGCCCUCGACGCCUCCUCGCGCCGCCUCCAGGACGAGCUCAACCAGCGCCUGCAGCGCUCGGCCGCCCGCGCUGCCGCCGGCGCCCAGCCCUAGGACGCGGGGCCGGGCUCUGCCCCUGCCCUCUGCAAGGCCUUGCUUGCUGGUAGGACCCUCUUUUGCCCCCCCAGCCAGCUCGCUCCCACCGCUUUCGGGGCGCACGGCUCCUCUGCGCGGCCCCAGGUUUGCGGAAUAAGCCGGGUGCCAGGCUGGCACCGGGAGGGACGGGAGGCUGCAGCCUGCUGUGCGCUGCCCAUAGCCCCAGCCCCAAGUCUUUAAUGCAUUUAUCCCGCAGGAGCUGCGCCCUGCUGUAGCACAGCCCCGUGUGCACGGGGAGAUCCCCCUCUGCUGCAGGCUCCUGCACCCUUGGGCCCUCCCCGAGCGUGCUUUGUCCAUGCAGCAUUUGCAGCUUGCCAGACUCGUGCGCCAGCAUCUGAGCACGUUCCCGGGGCUUCCCAGCACCCCUAAAGUGCCUUAAAAAUGAAUCCCAGCUCCUCUGGGGCUCAGCUGCAUCCCGCUGGUGACCUCCCCGCAUCGCAGCCCUCCUGGAUGCGUCCCUGCAUGGGCAGAGCCACCGCCAGCCCCCGUUAAUCUGUCACACAGCCCCAGCCUGGUCCAGGCUCACAAGCUAAAAGACCCCGUCACAACCCGGCUGCUGGGAGCAGGAGGCUGGGGAGCAGCAGGGAUGGGGACAGGGCUGGGGACAGGGCUGGGGACAGGGCUGGGGACAGGGUGGCUGCGCAUGCGCACGCCGGGAAGCGCCGGGCAGAGCCACGAACCACCCAGCAGUAAAUCGAAGCUGGCAACCGGAGUGCACCAAGCCCAUGGGGGUUUGGGCACCAGGAAAAGUGCUGGAGGCAGAACACCCUGGCGAAUUCGGGAGCCGGGGGGGGUCUCCGGGCACGGUGUGUCCUGGCCACCCUGCCAUGCCGGCCGUGGGGUCCCUGCUGUCCCCGUACGGCCCCGGGGCUGGGCACGAGGCAGGGAUCCCCGGGGGCAGCGGCAGCGGCACGACUUCAGGCGCUGCAGGCAGUGGAAUAAAGAGGCAUUGCGCUCUGCCA
ensembl:lncRNA